ensembl:lncRNA novel transcript
ACCAAGAGUGGAAGCACACAGAAGCACCAUGGGAAAGAGGAAAGACUCAGUGAGGACGGCCAAAAAUGUUCAGAGUGAUGGGGAAAAUCGACACCCUGUCCUCCUAACACAGAGCAUCCUGAGUCCCCGCUGACUCACAGGCAUGAACUAGAACCAAGCAGGGAAGUGGAGGCAGGAGGCUUUCCAGGAGGGGAAACAGGUGUGAGCGAGGCACAAGAGGGGUGCUGGGUGUGGCCUCCCUGGACAUGUGCUCACCUCUGAUCACUGGGCUCUGGACCUGUUUUGGCAACUAAAAUGGUAUCCACCUCAGCCUGCACCAUUCCAUAGCCAGCCUUCCAGAGUUUGCAUGCUCUUCCAAAGGAAUGAAUUUUCUACAAAAAAAAUAACCAGCUCCCAUGGAGAGGUGUUGGUUAAAAGUGUUGUUGGGGGAAGACCAAAAAAAUUCACACAGGGAAAUAGCUGGAAGGUUUUUAUGGAAAGCUAAGUUGGACUCAGAUAGUGGAACAUUGGUCACCUGUGAUGUUUAAGAAUUAAGCUGAGCUGUCCGAGUAGACAUUUCAGAAAUGCAGCUGGAGCUACCCAGUAAAAAUCUUAAAGAAGCUUUGGAUUCCUACACUGUCUCUACAAAUCUAUAGCAAAUUCUUUAGGUGCUUUCCAUGCAUGUGUUGUAAGCUUUAAGGAAUUUUAUGGACUUCAAACAUCUUUUAUUCAUUUUUUAAUAUCUUGGUGUUAAAUACUAAUUAUAUUUUCUCUGGCAAGAUCUUACACCGUGUAGAGCAAUAUUAAUUCACACAGAGAAGCCUUGUGAUGGUUAAUAUUAAGUGACAACUUGAUUGGAUUGAAGGACGCAAAGUAUUGUUCCUGGGUGUGUCUGUGAGGGUGUUGCCAAAGGACAUUAACAUUUGAGUCAGUGGACUGGGAGAGGCAGACCCACCCUCACUCUGGGUGGGCACCAUCCCCUCAGCUGCCAGUGCUGCUGAACAAUGCAGGCAAAAGAAGGUGGAGGAGCAGACUUGCUGAGUGUUCCAACCCUCAUCUUUCUCCUGUGCUGGAUGCUUCCUGCCCUCCAAUACUGGACUCCAGGUCCUUCAGGUUUUCGACUCAGACUUACACGAGUGGUUUGCCAGGGGCUCUCAGGCCUUUGGCCAUAGACUGAAGGCUGCACUGUUGGCUUCCCUACUUUUGAGGUUUUGGGAAUCAGACUGGCUUCCUCUCUCCUCAGCUUGCAGAUGACCUAUUGUGGGACUUCACCUUGUGAUUGUGAUAUCACACUGGUCCGUUACAUUGAUGACAUUAUGCUGACUGGACCCAGUGAGCAAGAAGUAGCAAACACACUGGACUUAUGUACUGAUCCAUGGACUAUAGCCAAUGGUUUGGCUGGAUGGUCAGGGACUUGGAAGAAGCAUGAUUGAAAAAUUGGUGACAAAGAAAUUUAGGGAAAAGGUAUUUGGAUGGAUCUCUCUGAGUGAUCAAAAACUGGGAAGAUAUUUGGAUCCCAUGUGAGUGCUCAUCAAUGGGUGACCUCAGCAGAGGAGGAUUUUAAUAAUGAAAUGGAUAGGAUGACUAAUACAAAUGUCAUGUAAAAUUAAAAUUAGCAUUAAGUGCAAAGAGGGCAGCAAAACACAUCCAGACUGUUCCUCUUCCAUCAGCUGACACAAACUUCAGAAAUACCAGCUGUGGCUGGGUGUGGUGGCUCACAUCUGUAAUCCCAACCUUUUGGGAGGCUGAGGCAGGCAGAUCACUUAAGGUCAGGAGUUUGAGACCAGCCUGGCCAACAUGAUGAAAUGCUGUCUCUACUAAAAAUACAAAAAUUAGCCA